AUUGAACGCUGGCGGAAUGCUUUACACAUGCAAGUCGAACGGCAGCACGGGAGCUUGCUCCUGGUGGCGAGUGGCGAACGGGUGAGUAAUAUAUAGGAACAUGCCCAGUAAUGGGGGAUAACGCCGAGAAAUCGGUGCUAAUACCGCAUACGCCCUGAGGGGGAAAGCGGGGGAUCUUCGGACCUCGCGUUACUGGAUUGGCCUAUAUCUUAUUAGCUAGUUGGUGAGGUAAAGGCUCACCAAGGCGACGAUCAGUAGCUGGUCUGAGAGGAUGAUCAGCCACACUGGAACUGAGACACGGUCCAGACUCCUACGGGAGGCAGCAGUGGGGAAUUUUGGACAAUGGGCGAAAGCCUGAUCCAGCCAUUCCGCGUGAGUGAAGAAGGCCUUCGGGUUGUAAAGCUCUUUCGGCAGGAAAGAAAUCGUUACUCUUAAUACGAGUGAUGGAUGACGGUACCUGAAGAAGAAGCACCGGCUAACUACGUGCCAGCCGCCGCGGUAA
rnacentral:rRNA from 1 species